rnacentral:rRNA from 1 species
UAGGGAAUCUUCCGCAAUGGACGCAAGUCUGACGGAGCAACGCCGCGUGAGUGAAGAAGGAUUUCGGUUCGUAAAACUCUGUUGUUAGAGAAGAACAGCGCAUAGAGUAACUGUUAUGCGUGUGACGGUAUCUAACCAGAAAGCCACGGCUAACUACGUGCCAGCAGCCGCGGUAAUACGUAGGUGGCAAGCGUUGUCCGGAUUUAUUGGGCGUAAAGCGAGCGCAGGCGGUCAAUUAAGUCUGAUGUGAAAGCCCCCGGCUCAACCGGGGAGGGUCAUUGGAAACUGGUUGACUUGAGUGCAGAAGAGGAGAGUGGAAUUCCAUGUGUAGCGGUGAAAUGCGUAGAUAUAUGGGGGAACACCAGUGGCGAAGGCGACUCUCUGGUCUGUAACUGACGCUGAGGUUCGAAAGCGUGGGUAGCGAACAGG